AUGAACGCUAGCUACAGGCUUAACACAUGCAAGUCGAGGGGCAGCAUGAACUUAGCUUGCUAAGUUUGAUGGCGACCGGCGCACGGGUGAGUAACACGUAUCCAACCUGCCGAUGACUCGGGGAUAGCCUUUCGAAAGAAAGAUUAAUACCCGAUGGCAUAGUUCUUCCGCAUGGUAGAACUAUUAAAGAAUUUCGGUCAUCGAUGGGGAUGCGUUCCAUUAGGUUGUUGGCGGGGUAACGGCCCACCAAGCCUUCGAUGGAUAGGGGUUCUGAGAGGAAGGUCCCCCACAUUGGAACUGAGACACGGUCCAAACUCCUACGGGAGGCAGCAGUGAGGAAUAUUGGUCAAUGGACGAGAGUCUGAACCAGCCAAGUAGCGUGAAGGAUGACUGCCCUAUGGGUUGUAAACUUCUUUUAUACGGGAAUAAAGUGAGGCACGUGUGCCUUUUUGUAUGUACCGUAUGAAUAAGGAUCGGCUAACUCCGUGCCAGCAGCCGCGGUAAUACGGAGGAUCCGAGCGUUAUCCGGAUUUAUUGGGUUUAAAGGGAGCGUAGGCGGACGCUUAAGUCAGUUGUGAAAGUUUGCGGCUCAACCGUAAAAUUGCAGUUGAUACUGGGUGUCUUGAGUACAGUAGAGGCAGGCGGAAUUCGUGGUGUAGCGGUGAAAUGCUUAGAUAUCACGAAGAACUCCGAUUGCGAAGGCAGCUUGCUGGACUGUAACUGACGCUGAUGCUCGAAAGUGUGGGUAUCAAACAGGAUUAGAUACCCUGGUAGUCCACACAGUAAACGAUGAAUACUCGCUGUUUGCGAUAUACAGUAAGCGGCCAAGCGAAAGCGUUAAGUAUUCCACCUGGGGAGUACGCCGGCAACGGUGAAACUCAAAGGAAUUGACGGGGGCCCGCACAAGCGGAGGAACAUGUGGUUUAAUUCGAUGAUACGCGAGGAACCUUACCCGGGCUUGAAUUGCAACUGAAUGAUGUGGAGACAUGUCAGCCGCAAGGCAGUUGUGAAGGUGCUGCAUGGUUGUCGUCAGCUCGUGCCGUGAGGUGUCGGCUUAAGUGCCAUAACGAGCGCAACCCUUAUCGAUAGUUACCAUCAGGUUAUGCUGGGGACUCUGUCGAGACUGCCGUCGUAAGAUGUGAGGAAGGUGGGGAUGACGUCAAAUCAUCAUGCCCCUUAUGACCUGGGCUACACACGUGCUACAAUGGCGUAAACAAAGGGAGGCAAAGCCGCGAGGUGGAGCAAAUCCCAAAAAUAACGUCCCAGUUCGGACUGUAGUCUGCAACCCGACUACACGAAGCUGGAAUCGCUAGUAAUCGCGGAUCAGAAUGCCGCGGUGAAUACGUUCCCGGGCCUUGUACACACCGCCCGUCACACCAUGGGAGUUGGGAGCGCCCGAAGCCAGUGAGGUAACCGAAAGGAGCCAGCUGUCGAAGGUGAGACCAAUGACUGGGGUG
rnacentral:rRNA from 1 species